CCAGCCACCGCUGUCAGAUUCAUUAAUAGACUUUGAAAAAAUGCGGCUGUCACUUACCACCAUCUGCUGUGGCCUGAACAUUUGUGCCCUCCCCAGAGUCCUAUGUUGAAACCUAACCCCCACAGUGAUGUCUUUAGGAGACGUGAUUCACGAGGGUUGAGCCCUCAUGAACCGAAUUAAGAGACCCCAGAGAGCUUGCUAGCCUCUUCCUCCUCGGGAGGACAUGAGAAGCCCACAGCCCAGACGAGGGCCCCCACGUGCCUGCACCGGCCAGCGCCCUGAUCUUGGACUUCCAGCCUCCAGAACUUUCUGGAGGUCAGAAAUCCGAAAUCAGCUUCACUGCCCUGAAGCCAAAAGUGUUGACAGGGUAAGGACCUCAGUCCUGUUGCUAGUGACAAGGAACUGAAUUCUGCCAACAACCCGUGAGCUUACAAGAGGAUCGCAAGCCUCAGAGGACAUAGGAGAUGAGAUGUUGACUGUGGCCUUGUGAAGACUCUCGACAGGAGGAGACUUAGUCAAGAUGUGCCCGGACUCCAGACCCUUGGACACGCCAAGAGGGUCCAGAAGAAGCAAAAGGAAAGAAAUGCCACACGUUGGUGGCUGUGAGCACACCCAGCACCCAGACCUUGGAUUCUAAACACCGUUCUUCAAUAAAGGAAAACAGGGCCAUUGGAGAACCGGCUGGUCCCAGGGGUGGGGCCAGGAAGUAAGGAAGUACUCAAAAAACAAGAUGGUGGGUGUGUGCCAAGGGGACUCCAGAGCCAACUGGAAGAACUCCCAAUGGCCAAACCUGAAACAACUUAAACAAAAUAAAUAAAAGAGCAUUGAAUUAUAACCCCAAAGUAUAAAACAAAUAUCUCUGAGCCUGCCCCAACACAAAUGAGUGGGUAAAUAAAUAAAGAAGAAUAGAGAAUUCUCAUUAGAGUCCUAUACUCUUAAUACUCUCAAAAUGUCACAGGCUGUGCGUAGCCACUUCCAACCAGAGUGCAAGUGUAGAAAGGGGUACAGGAUGGAGAACCCCGACAAACACUGCCUCUGCUGUGCAAUCAAGCUUAACAUCAUCAGCGGUGAGUCGGCUGGCAGCAUGUACCUCAGAUGUGCUGUGGGGGGAACGGUACUUUACCUUUGCUGUCUUCCUCUCAAGAACCCUAAACCCAAUCGUGAGAAAAACAUCAGACAAACCCAAGCUGAGGGCCAGUCUGGAAAGUGUCCUGACCCAUACUCUUCAAAACCACCAAGGUCAUCAAGACAAGCAAAUUCUGAGAAACUGUCACAGUCCAGAGGAGCCUAAGGAGAAAGGAUGUUUCAAUGUAACAUAUGCUGGUUGAGAUCCUGGGACAGAAGAGGACAUCAGGGAAAAACUGAGGAAAUUCGAAUAAAGUGUGGACUUUACUUAGUAAUAAUGUAUUGAUUCGUUAGUUUUGGCAAAUGUAUCAUACUUACAUAAGAUAUUGACAAUGGGGACAGCUGGACGCUGGGUAUAAGGGAAACCUCUGUACUUCCCUUGCAACUUUUUGUACGUCUAAAACUAUCUAAAAUUUUUAGAUAUUUAUUUAUAUAUUUAUCUGACAGAGAGAGACAGAACACAAGCAGAGGGGAGGAGCAA